GGCACGGUGGCCGAGUGGUUAAGGCGUGGGAUUAGAGUCCCCAUGGAGUAUUCCGCAUCAGUUCGAAUCUGGUCCGUGUCG
rnacentral:tRNA from 1 species